CCUGGCGAGGGACCAAAAAACCUCCUACCAAAAGCCGCAACCUACAUUUGUUCCUUAUGCAACACCUUUGACUCCGGAAGAAGUCCUGGGAACGGCACUGGAUAACGAUCCUAAGCGGCUGAAAGUCCCAGCCUAUUACAACGAGUUGUGCUCGAUGAUCAGCGAGAACAGGCUCGACACCUUCCA